rnacentral:rRNA from 1 species
GGCUCAGAACGAACGCUGGCGGCAGGCUUAACACAUGCAAGUCGAACGCCCCACAAAGAGGAGUGGCAGACGGGUGAGUAACGCGUGGGAACAUACCCUUUCCUGCGGAAUAGCUCCGGGAAACUGCAGAUUCUUAAUACCGCAUACGCCCUACGGGGAAGAUUUAUCGGGGAAGGAUUGGCCCGCGUUGGAUUAGCUAGUUGGUGGGGUAAAGGCCUACCAAGGCGACGAUCCAUAGCUGGUCUGAGAGGAUGAUCAGCCACAGUGGGACUGAGACACGGCCCAAACUCCUACGGGAGGCAGCAGUGGGGAAUAUUGGACAAUGGGCGCAAGCCUGAUCCAGCCAUGCCGCGCGAGUGAUGAAGGCCUUAGGGUUGUAAAGCUCUUUCACGGAGAAGAUAAUGACGGUAUCGGAGAAGAAGCCCCGGCUAACUUCGUGCCAGCAGCCGCAGUAAUACGAAGGGGCUAGCGUUACUCGGAAUUACUGGGCGUAAAGCGUGCGUAGGUGGUCGUUUAAGUCCGUUGUGAAAACCCUGGGCUCAACCUGGGAACUGCAGUGGAUACUGGGCGACUAGAGUGUGGUAGAGGGUAGCGGAAUUCUGAGAUUGUAGCAGUGAAAUGCGUAGAGAUCAGGAGGAACAUCCAUGGCGAGAGCAAGCUACCUGGACCAACACUGACACUGAGGCACGAAAGCGUGGGAGCAAACAGGAUUAGAUACCCUGGUAGUCCACGCCCUAAACGAUGUCAACUAGCUGUUGGGGCCUUCGGGCCUUGGUAGCGCAAUAACGCGUGAGGUGACCGCCUGGGAGGUACGGUCGCAAAGAUUAAAACUCAAAGGAAUUGACGAGGUUACAAGCGGUGGAUGAUGUGGAUUAAUUCGAUGCAACGCGAAAACCUUACCUACCCUUGACAUGUCUGGAAUCCCGAAGAGAUUUGGGGUGCUCGCAAGAGAACCGGAACACAGGUGCUGCAUGGCUGUCAAUGGCUCGUGUCUGCGGAUGUUGGGUUAAGUCCCGCAACAGGCGCAACCCUUGUCAUUAGUUGCUACGAAGGGCACUCUAAUGAGACACCCGGUGACAAACCGGAGGAAGGUGGGGAUGACGUCAAGUCCUCAUGGCCCAUAUGGGUAGGAGCUUCACACGUCAUACAAUGGUCGGGACAGAGGGCUCGCCAACCCUGAGGGAGCCAAUCCCAGAAACCCGAUCGUAGUCCGGAUCGCAGUCUGCAACUCGACUGCGUGAAGUCGGAAUCGCUAGUAAUCGCGGAUCAGCAUGUCGCCGUGAAUACGUUCCCGGGUCUUGUACACACCGCCCGUCACACCAUGGGAGUGGGUUUUACCAGAAGUAGUUAGCCUAACCGUAAGGAGGGCGAUUACCACGGUAGGAUUCAUGACUGGGGUGAAGUCGUAACAAAGGUAG